rnacentral:rRNA from 1 species
UGAGGAAUAUUGGUCAAUGGGCGCGAGCCUGAACCAGCCAAGUAGCGUGAAGGAUGAAGGUCCUACGGAUUGUAAACUUCUUUUAUAAGGGAAUAAAGUCAUCUACGUGUAGGUGUUUGUAUGUACCUUAUGAAUAAGCAUCGGCUAACUCCGUGCCAGCAGCCGCGGUAAUACGGAGGAUGCGAGCGUUAUCCGGAUUUAUUGGGUUUAAAGGGAGCGUAGACGGGUCGUUAAGUCAGCUGUGAAAGUUUGGGGCUCAACCUUAAAAUUGCAGUUGAUACUGGCGUCCUUGAGUACGGUUGAGGCAGGCGGAAUUCGUGGUGUAGCGGUGAAAUGCUUAGAUAUCACGAAGAACCCCGAUUGCGAAGGCAGCCUGCUAAACCGCCACUGACGUUGAGGCUCGAAAGUGUGGGUAUCAAACAGGAUUAGAUACCCUGGUAGUCCACACGGUAAACGAUGGAUACUCGCUGUUGGCGAUAGACUGUCAGCGGCUUAGCGAAAGCGUUAAGUAUCCCACCUGGGGAGUACGCCGGCAACGGUGAAACUCAAAGGAAUUGACGGGGGCCCGCACAAGCGGAGGAACAUGUGGUUUAAUUCGAUGAUACGCGAGGAACCUUACCCGGGCUUGAAUUGCAGACGAAUUGCUUGGAAACAGGCAAGCCGCAAGGCGUCUGUGAAGGUGCUGCAUGGUUGUCGUCAGCUCGUGCCGUGAGGUGUCGGCUUAAGUGCCAUAACGAGCGCAACCCUCGUGUCCAGUUACUAGCAGGUUAUGCUGAGGACUCUGGACAGACUGCCAUCGUAAGAUGUGAGGAAGGUGGGGAUGACGUCAAAUCAGCACGGCCCUUACGUCCGGGGCUACACACGUGUUACAAUGGGGGGUACAGCAGGCAGCUACCGGGCGACCGGAUGCCAAUCCCGAAAGCCUCUCUCAGUUCGGACUGGAGUCUGCAACCCGACUCCACGAAGCUGGAUUCGCUAGUAAUCGCGCAUCAGCCACGGCGCGGUGAAUACGUUCCC